rnacentral:rRNA from 1 species
UACGUAGGGUGCGAGCGUUGUCCGGAAUUAUUGGGCGUAAAGAGCUCGUAGGCGGUCUGUCGCGUCGGCUGUGAAAACCCGGGGCUCAACCCCGGGCCUGCAGUCGAUACGGGCAGACUAGAGUGCGGUAGGGGAGACUGGAAUUCCUGGUGUAGCGGUGAAAUGCGCAGAUAUCAGGAGGAACACCGGUGGCGAAGGCGGGUCUCUGGGCCGUAACUGACGCUGAGGAGCGAAAGUGUGGGGAGCGAACAGG